AGUGAACGCUGGCGGUAGGCCUAACACAUGCAAGUCGAACGGCAGCACAGUAAGAGCUUGCUCUUACGGGUGGCGAGUGGCGGACGGGUGAGGAAUACAUCGGAAUCUACUUUUUCGUGGGGGAUAACGUAGGGAAACUUACGCUAAUACUGCAUACGACCUACGGGUGAAAGCAGGGGAUCUUCGGACCUUGCGCGAUUGAAUGAGCCGAUGUCGGAUUAGCUAGUUGGCGGGGUAAAGGCCCACCAAGGCGACGAUCCGUAGCUGGUCUGAGAGGAUGAUCAGCCACACUGGAACUGAGACACGGUCCAGACUCCUACGGGAGGCAGCAGUGGGGAAUAUUGGACUAUGGGCGCAAGCCUGAUCCAGGCAUACCGCAUGGGUGAAGAAGGCCUUCGGGUUGUAAAGCAGUUUUGUUGGGAAAGAAAAGCAGCAGGAUAAUACCGCGCGGUUCUGUCGGUACCCAAAUAAUAAGCACCGGCUAACUUCGUG
rnacentral:rRNA from 1 species